rnacentral:rRNA from 1 species
CCUACGGGAGGCUGCAGUGGGGAAUAUUGGACAAUGGGGGCAACCCUGAUCCAGCCAUGCCGCGUGUGUGAAGAAGGCCCUCGGGUUGUAAAGCACUUUCAGUGAGGAAGAACGCCUGGUGGUUAAUACCCAUCAGGAAAGACAUCACUCACAGAAGAAGCACCGGCUAACUCCGUGCCAGCAGCCGCGGUAAUACGGAGGGUGCGAGCGUUAAUCGGAAUUACUGGGCGUAAAGCGCGCGUAGGUGGCUUGAUAAGCCGGUUGUGAAAGCCCCGGGCUCAACCUGGGAACGGCAUCCGGAACUGUCAAGCUAGAGUGCUGGAGAGGAAGGUAGAAUUCCCGGUGUAGCGGUGAAAUGCGUAGAGAUCGGGAGGAAUACCAGUGGCGAAGGCGGCCUUCUGGACUGACACUGACACUGAGGUGCGAAAGCGUGGGUAGCAAACAGGAUUAGAUACCCUGGUAGUC